GUAGCUCUACCUAUGGUCUUAAACAAAGCAUGAAAGUGCCCUUUUUCUAUUGGGAACGGAGACAGUUUGCUGAAGAAAGGAUUUAUGACAAUGAUUGUCCAAAUAACGAGAAGGAAUUGCAGUUAAUUUUGAUGCUACUGAAACAACGGAUGAUUUUGACAUCUUCAAUGGGUGGCAAUUGGAAAUUAAUAACAACAAAUUGUCUGCAGUGGCAUCUCUUCUAGAUAUGGUUUGCUCAUCACACUAGUAGACUUUAGAACGCCACUUUCUACAAUUAGUUAAGGUUAUCCAACAAAUGAGAGGAAGUUAAUGUUCAGUUAGAUAGAUAAUUGGUCUUCAAAUACCACACGUUAUUAACGAGGGUUGAAUCUUACAAUAGAGGACUGUGUCGACAUUACACUUAAGGAACAUAAAAUUAGUUAUGCUAUGUAUUAUGAAAAGUAGCAGUAACUGAAGUCCCGAAAAAAGCGUGAAGGUGCCUUUUUUGGAUUGAGAACGGAGGCAGGAUUGUUAAAGGAAGAAUUUAAAAAUUGCGAAAUGGAUUGGAAUGCGAUAAGCCCACAAGUCAACGUAGUUGUACCUGAAUGAAAGUGUCUUUUUUCUAUUGGGAACGGAGACAGUGUGCUGAAGAAAGGAUUUAUGACAAUGGUAUGUAACAGUAUCAAUUAAAAAUAAUAAAUGAGAUCCCAGAAACUUCAAUUUGUUAGACAUUUGUAAUUUGCUUCAGCAGACAACUUUCAAACAACGUUUCAGAAGCAGAACAGCAGAAUUAAUGUGGAAGGAAGGGAUCUUUCCAUGAGUGUGCAUGUUACUGAUUUACUUCAUUAAAAAUGGUAAUUAAUUCCUUUUUCUUGUCUGUUUCUACAGAUUGUCCAAAUAAUGAGAAGGAAUUGCAGUUUGCAGACGUCUUCAAUGGGUGGCAAUUGGAAAUUAAUUUGGAAGUCACAGAAACAACAAAUUGUCUGCAGUGGCAUCUCUCCUGGAUAUGAUUUGCUCAUCACACUAGUAGACUUUAGAACGCCACUUUCUACAAUUAGUUAAGGUUAUCUAACAAAUGAGAAGAAGUUAAAGUUCAGUUCGGCCGUAUUGAAACAACCAUUGUCUACAUGGGUGUGGUCUUUUGUGAACUAUAUUCUUGGUUUGCUGUUUUCGUCUUCGCUUUGCAGCAUUAUGCA